CACUCGGUAGCUUAGUUGGUAAAGCACUCGUCUAGCAUACAAGAGUCGAGGGUUUGAAUCUUACCUGAGCAC
rfam:Aedes aegypti strain Liverpool supercont1.633 genomic scaffold, whole genome shotgun sequence.